rnacentral:rRNA from 1 species
UACGUAGGGUGCAAGCGUUAAUCGGAAUUACUGGGCGUAAAGCGUGCGCAGGCGGCUUUGCAAGACAGAUGUGAAAUCCCCCGGGCUUAACCUGGGAACUGCAUUUGUGACUGCAAGGCUAGAGUACGGUAGAGGGGGAUGGGAAUUCCGGCGUGUAGCAGUGAAUGACGUAGAUAUGCGGAGGAACACCGAUGGCGAAGGGCAGCUCGCGUAGGACGGUACUGACGCUGAGACGCGAAGCGUGGGGAGCAAACAGG